CGUCGACGCUAAGCGUGUUUACUUUUGCAGCGUGUAGGAUGGUGCCGUGGACUCGGCUGAGCUCUGGAGCCACCCCUGUGCCAGACGAGGUCCCCAAAGUUGGUGGUGAGCUAUGACCCAAAGAAGGGCACUGCAGCUUUUCACAGUGGGACCAUGGAGACUGACCUUCGACACACUAAGAUUCAUCUGCGGGAGGGAGCACUGAAGAAUAUCCCUCGGACUGAGGCCAAUACCAUCUAGCAAGAAUCGUGCUCCCCUUAUGCAAUACCAUACGCAGAGAAUGUCCACGUGUAUGACCUCGCCCAAGCCUGGAGCAUCUGCAUUUGGCCGUCUGACCAAUAAUAGAGGAAAAGAAGAGUCGAGCGUCAUUCCGGCUACGCCAGCUGUGGCCGUCUCACGAAGAAGCUUUGAUUCUGCGUCGGGCACGGGGUGCGCAGGGCUCCACGGCGUUACCUCGUGUAACUUAAGACGCCGUGCGAAGUAGGCACCAUCAUCACCCCAGCUUUACAACUAGGAGCAGCUCAGAGACGCCAGGAACGCACCCAGAGUUCCAGCUGGCCAGUGGCCGCGCUGACUCCCAACCUGACAUGCAGCCCCGGCCCGGUGCAUUUGCAUCAUCUAAACCGAUGGCCGCCUGAAGCUGUGCCCUGGGCCGCGGGUGGCUGGUCACAGAGGCCUGUUGCGAGAGAGCCCCAGAUCCCAAGGAGCCCUGUGCAAGCAUUCUGAGCCACCGCGCCCCAGGAGACAGAGAGGCUGCUCACGCCACACUCCCCAUAAUGAUCAAGAACAGGAGCCAGGGGUGCCAAGGCAAGACGGGGCCCGCCAGCUGUUCAGGGAGGCAGCAGGGAGUUACCGGCAUGAUGCAUCACGGGCCGGGGCCGGGGCGUUGUCCAGCGUGCUGGGUGGGUGACAGGCGGCCGGGCGUGCGGGGUGUGAUGUAACAGGCUGUUCGCUGCCGGCUGGCAGGGCCACUGACUAACUUUCCUCCUCUGUCAACGGCCUGUAAUCGCCUCCACUGAGAGGGAGGGUGGGUGUGGCAGGCCCGUCGCCAAGACAGCCAGCCAGGCACGGAGCAUCCGCCAGGCCACCGAGCAGCGUCCGUGUGCCGCGGUGGCUCCCCUUAGCCCUGGACCAGACGCACUGCCAGGUCGGUCCCGGCACAGAGCACGGAGCGGAAAGAGAGCGAAGUGCGAGGCAGACCCCCAAGGAGGGGCACCCGUGUGUUAAGGAGUGGAUACGUAGUGGCGUGUUCUUUGACCUAGAGAAGGAGAAGUGAGGAAAUCAUGUUACAUCGAGUACUUACUGGUACCAAGUCUUUACACCUGCCCAGUAGGACGGGUUUCCUUCACUCGUUCACGCAUUCACUCAAAUAUAUCUGAGCACCUCCUAGCUGUCAGAAAUCACAUGGUUUUACAGAUAAGGAAACUGAGGCUCCGAGACGCACUCACUCCCCAGGCAAGGCUGGAGCUGGUGCUGAGAGCUGCGCUCCUAGAAAGGGGAACGUCUCUAGGAAGAUACGGCCCCUACCAGGCCCUGGGCUUGCCAAGUAGACCCCCUAGUCAGGAACCCCCAGUUCUGCCCCUAAGAUCCUAUGGCCAGUGGGCAGUACAGCCUGGGCGCGCGAGAUCCCACCAUGCUCUCUCCUGGGCCACACCACCUCGCUCUGCCAUCAAGGACUCACGGUGGUGGUCACCUUUAGGGACUCUCUGGCAAACUCUACAAGCUAAAAUAGAUGUUUCUGGUCUUAAAAAGGAGACGGAGGAGCUGUUGUGGAACAGUGAGCAGGCCAUGAGCCCUGGAAGGCUGGGGGCUGGAGCGAGGGGCUGGGCCUGCUCUGUGGAACGGACAGGAGUCGAUGCCAGGUCCUGCACCCGUGCAGGUGGGGGCGCAAGUGGUACCCCAUGCAGACGUGACUACAGCUCUGGCUGGCCCACGUGACUGCAUCGACUCAUUGUGUCAGAAUUCCUCGCUGUGCAAGUGAGAAUCCCGGAGAUCUGGGCCAGGCCCCUGAAGAAGGAAGUGAAGGACGGCUGGAGGGAGGUGUGUCUGCACGUGCAUCUGAGGAAGCCAGUGUUCUGGGAGAGCCCCUCCCAGCUGUCACCCCAAGCUGGCUUGUUUGUGUGCUUGGGAGCCGGGCAGGUUCUCGUGCUGCCAGCCUAUCUCCCAGUGGCUUCCCCGAUGCCUCGGCCUGGGAAAUGGGGGCAGAAGCAGCAGAUCGGGGUGCCCGAGGGAGGCCCAAGCGCCCCAGCCUGUCUACACUGGCCAUUUCAAUAAGGACGCUCUGCUACACCAAGGUGUUGCCACCCUGGCCCCCAGGGUUCUGAGCACACAACCCGGCUGGACAGAAAGCACCCAGUAUAUGUGGGUUGAAUUCAUAUGCAGAAAUAACACAAAUGAAUGAAAAACACGCACAGCGCUGCUCUGCCCUUGGGCUCCUCAGUCCCACAGGGGCUCCAAAUGGCCAGGCCCACCCCUGAAGUCUCGUGCGCCAGUGGGGGUGGGAGCUGGGCCCCAGGGACUUCACGGAAAGAACCAUAGAUUAACAUUUGUCCAAUAUGCUACUGGAGGUUUUUCCCUAUAAAAUAGCUUUGGUUUCCAUUCACGUGUUGGGAGAGGCUGCAAAAUGCUAAGUUCACAAAUCACCAUGUCAUGAUUAUUUACUUUGUGUAUCUUUAUAUUGCAAAUAGUUAAUUUUUGUGCUGGAGCGAUUCCUAGUUAGUGUAUAUGGGGGGAUCGCUUACGUACAACUCUAUAUGGCAUCGCUUUUUCUUUCUGAUCAGUAUCUGCUCUUCAUGUGUGAAGGGGGUGGUAUUUAGGGAUGUUACAGAUGUCUCAGCAAGAGCCGGGGUCUGGGGGGUCGAAGGCUGGCCACGCUCAGGGGUCCUUCCGGGUAUCUGGGGCCAGCCAGGGGGCUGGGAGAGAAGUCGAGUCAGCUGCGCUCCACCUGGAAACUCUCUCUCUUCUUAAUCUGUUUUAGAUCUUGGCGAUCUCAUGUAAGAUUGCCAUUGAGUAAGAGCUUGUGGUUAAAUGGAAUACUUCUGGUCCAAAGUGUUCAUCUUGCCAGUGAAGAAGCCCAUGCCUGCGGGAGGAGGAAGUUGUCUGUCCACAAGCUACACACACCCACACCAUACACACACACACACACACACACCCCACACAUGCCGCGCUUACAGACAUGCACGCGCACACCCACACACCCUGCACCCCGCGCACACACCAGAUCCUCCGGGCAUCCCCAGCCUGGGUACCCCGUCUGCCUCCGUGGACCACAGCACCCAAGAGCAACACGGGCCGGGGGGCCGCACAGCACAGAGCUCGGCUCUGGCUUUGCUCCCGCUGCUGUGGCUUCACACGCUGCUGCCCUGCAGUCUGCCUCAGUUUCCCCAUCUGUGAAGCAGGGACACCAGGGUGACACGGCUCCCCUGGGGCUGUGUGAACCUUCACCGAGGUAGUUCGUGUGAAGAGCUACAGGGAGCGCCAAGCACAGCCCUCAAUAAAAGCUAAUCAUUAUUGUUUGGCACGGGGCCUGUUACCUAUUAGCUGUUCAAUUAACU